AGCUGAGAAUGUCUGAUGUUCCUGCUGGUCCCUCCUGCUGACUGGAGCCCGGGCUGAGGCCUGGCUGUCACCGCUGUUCCUAACCUGACUCUACUGGACUGUACUUGUUGUGUAUCCAUGAGGAAUUGACUCUGAGCAUUUGCCUGUUAUUUCCCUGGGGCACCUGAACUGAAAUCUGCACUUGGCCACAAAAUAACAGAAAUAGUCCAUCAUUUAUUCUGGAAGACUAGAUGUCACCUUAGACACUUAAUACUGCAUCUCAGCGCCAGGAGUGACAGCACCAAGAUCACCUCAAAGGAAAUACAGGGACAAAGAGUGGAGCAGAGACUGAAGGAAA
rnacentral:sRNA from 1 species